rnacentral:sRNA from 1 species
CUUCCGCCUGCUGCGGACAGAUCGCGUGGAUAUGGACGUCGAGGCCGCCGGCGGUGACGAUCUUGCCUUCACCGGCGAUGACCUCGGUCCCGGGGCCGACGACGAUCGUGACGCCGGGCUGGACAUCCGGGUUGCCGGCCUUGCCGAUGGCGGCGAUCCGGCCGUCCCGGAUGCCGAUAUCGGCCUUGACGAUGCCCCAGUGGUCGAUGAUCAGGGCGUUGGUGAUGACGGUAUCGACGGCGCCGUUGGCGCGGGUCACCUGCGACUGGCCCAUGCCGUCGCGGAUG